rnacentral:rRNA from 1 species
AGUGAACGCUGGCGGUAGGCCUAACACAUGCAAGUCGAACGGCAGCACAGUAAGAGCUUGCUCUUACGGGUGGCGAGUGGCGGGCGGGUGAGGAAUACAUCGGAAUCUACUUUUUCGUGGGGGAUAACGUAGGGAAACUUACGCUAAUACCGCAUACGACCUACGGGUGAAAGCAGGGGAUCUUCGGACCUUUCGCGAUUGAAUGAGCCGAUGUCGGAUUAGCUAGUUGGCGGGGUAAAGGCCCACCAAGGCGACGAUCCGUAGCUGGUCUGAGAGGAUGAUCAGCCACACUGGAACUGAGACACGGUCCAGACUCCUACGGGAGGCAGCAGUGGGGAAUAUUCGGCAAUGGGCGCAAGCCUGACCGAGCCAUACCGCGUGAGUGAAGAAGGCCUUCGGGUUGUAAAGCCCUGUUGUUGGGAAAGAAAAGCAGUAGGUGAAUACCCCCAUGUUUUGACGGUACCCAAAGAAUAAGCACCGGCUAACUACGUG